rnacentral:rRNA from 1 species
CCUACGGGUGGCUGCAGUGGGGAAUAUUGCACAAUGGGCGCAACCCUGACGCAGCGACGCCGCGUGAGUGAAGAAGUAUUUCGGUAUGUCAAGCUCUAUUCGCAGGGAAGAAGCUGAUGGUACUUGCUUAAGAAGCCCCGACUAACUACGUGUCAGCAGCCGCCGGAAUACGUAGGGGGCAAGCGUCAUCCGGAUUUACUGGGUGUAAAGGGAGCGUAGACGGCAGCACAAGUCUGGAGUGAAAUGACGGGGCUUAACCCCGGAACUGCUUUGGAUACUGGGCAGCUAGAGUGCAGGAGAGGGAAGUGGAAUUCCUAGUGUAGCGGUGAAAUGCGUAGAUAUUAGGAGGAACACCAGUGGCGAAGGCGGCUUACUGGACUGUAACUGACGUUGAGGCGCGAAAGCGUGGGGAGCAAACAGGAUUAGAUACCCGUGUAGUC